CGCUGGCGGCGUGCCUAACACAUGCAAGUCGAACGGGAAAACAGGGGCAACUCUGUGAGUACAGUGGCGUACGGGUGAGUAACACGUGACUACCUACCCUCGAGUGGGGGAUAACCCCGGGAAACCGGGGCUAAUACCGCAUAACAUCGCAAGAUCAAAGGAGCAAUUCGCUUGAGGAGGGGGUCGCGGCUGAUUAGCUAGUUGGUGGGGUAACGGCCCACCAAGGCGAUGAUCGGUAGCCGGGCUGAGAGGGCGCACGGGCCCCCUGGAACUGAAACACGGUCCAGACUCCUACGGGAGGCAGCAGUGGGGAAUUUUGCGCAAUGGGGGGAAACUCUGACGCAGCACCGCCCCGUGGAGGAUGAAGUCCCUUUGGGGACGUAACCUCCCUUUCCCCCGGAUGACUCUGACCGCCACGUGUGGUAUCUACCUUCUCCUGAAUUGCGCACGCGAACCCGCCGCAGGAUAA
rnacentral:rRNA from 1 species